GAUCAUGGCUCAGGAUGAACGCUGGCGGCGUGCUUAACACAUGCAAGUCGAACGGAGUUUUAACGGAAGUUUCGGAUGGAAGUUUAGAAACUUAGUGGCGGACGGGUGAGUAACGCGUGGGUAACCUGCCUCAUACAGGGGGAUAACAGUUAGAAAUGACUGACUAACACCGCAUAAUAUAGCGAAACCGCAUGAUUUUGCUAUCAAAUAUUUAUAGGUAUGAGAUGGGCCCGCGUCUGAUUAGCUAGUUGGUGGGGUAAAAGCCUACCAAGGCGACGAUCAGUAGCCGGCUUGAGAGAGUGACCGGCCACAUUGGGACUGAGACACGGCCCAAACUCCUACGGGAGGCAGCAGUGGGGAAUAUUGGACAAUGGGGGAAACCCUGAUCCAGCGAACCGCCGCGUGAGUGAAGAAGUAUUUCGGUAUGUAAAGCUCUAUCAGCAGGGAAGAUAAUGACAGUACCUGACUAAGAAGCCCCGGCUAACUACGUGCCAGCCGCUGC
rnacentral:rRNA from 1 species